rnacentral:rRNA from 1 species
GAUGAACGCUAGCGGCAGGCCUAACACAUGCAAGUCGAGGGGUAACAUAGAAAAGCUUGCUUUUCUGAUGACGACCGGCGCACGGGUGCGUAACGCGUAUACAACCUACCUUUUAGCGGGGAAUAGCCCAGGGAAACUUGGAUUAAUGCCCCAUAGUAUAUAGACUUCUCCUGAAGUUUAUAUUAAACAUUUAUGGCUAUUAGAUGGGUAUGCGUCCUAUUAGUUAGUUGGUAAGGUAACGGCUUACCAAGGCAGCGAUAGGUAGGGGUCCUGAGAGGGAGAUCCCCACACUGGUACUGAGACACGGACCAGACUCCUACGGGAGCGGCAGUGAGGAAUAUUGGACAAUGGGCGAGAGCCUGAUCCAGCCAUGCCGCGUGCAGGAAGACUGCCCUAUGGGUUGUAAACUGCUUUUACAGAGGAAGAACCACCCCCACGUGUGGGGGUUUGACGGUACUCUGCGAAUAAGGAUCGGCUAACUCCGUG